rnacentral:rRNA from 1 species
ACGGGGUAGUAAUGUGUCGGAACGUGCCCUCUGGACGGGGAUAGCGGCGGGAAACUGCCGGUAAUACCCGAUGAACUCGAGAGAGCAAAGGCGUGAUUCCGCCGGAGGAGCGGCCGACAUGGUAUUAGCUAGUUGGCGGGGUAACGGCCCACCAAGGCUGUGAUGCCUAGGGGAUGUGAGAGCAUGAUCCCCACCAUUGGGACUGAGACACUGCCCAGACACCUACGGGUGGCUGCAGUCGAGAAUCUUCGUCAAUGGGCGAAAGCCUGAACGAGCGACGCCGCGUGUGGGAUGAAGGCCUUUGGGUUGUAAACCACUGUCGAGGGGGAUGAAGGCAUUCAGGUCCUCCUGAAUGUUUGACAGAGCCCUGGAGGAAGCACGGGCUAAGUUCGUGCCAGCAGCCGCGGUAAUACGAACUGUGCGAACGUUAUUCGGAAUCACUGGGCUUACAGGGUGCGUAGGCGGCUUAGCAAGUCAGGUGUGAAAGCCCCCGGCUCAACCGGGGAACUGCGCUUGAAACUGCUGAGCUCGAGUCAGCUAGAGGUACACGAAACUUCCAGUGGAGCGGUGAAAUGUGUUGA